AUUCCAGCUCCAAUAGCGUAUAUUAAUGUUGUUGCAGUUAAAAAGCUCGUAGUUGGAUUUCUGGGUUCUUCGCUAGCUUUGGUCCGCAAGGGCUUCAGUGGGCUGUUUGAAUCCAUCCUCAGGGGGACCCAUGCUGGUAUUCAUUUAUCGGUGUGGGAACGCCUGUCGUUUACUGUGAACAAAUUAGAGUGUUCAAAGCAAGGUGUACUUGAAUACAUUAGCAUGGAAUAAUAAGAUAGGACUUUGGUGGUUCUUUCGAGAUAUUUUGUUGGUUUGCACGCCAAAGUAAUGAUUAAUAGGAGCAGUUGGGGGUAUUCGUAUUCAAUUGUCAGAGGUGAAAUUCUUGGAUUUAUAGAAGACGAACUACUGCGAAAGCAUUUACCAAGGAUGUUUUCAUCG
rnacentral:rRNA from 1 species